GAGUUUGAUCCUGGCUCAGGACGAACGCUGGCGGCGUGCCUAAUACAUGCAAGUCGAACGCACGAAGUUGAAGAGCUUGCUCUUUAACCAAGUGAGUGGCGGACGGGUGAGUAACACGUGGGUAACCUGCCCAUUAGAGGGGGAUAACACUCGGAAACGGAUGCUAAUACCGCAUAGUUUCAGGAAUCGCAUGAUUCUUGAAGGAAAGGUGGCUUCGGCUACCACUAAUGGAUGGACCCACGGCGUAUUAGCUAGUUGGUGAGGUAAUGGCUCACCAAGGCAAUGAUACGUAGCCGACCUGAGAGGGUGAUCGGCCACACUGGGACUGAGACACGGCCCAGACUCCUACGGGAGGCAGCAGUAGGGAAUCUUCCGCAAUGGACGAAAGUCUGACGGAGCAACGCCGCGUGAGUGAAGAAGGUUUUCGGAUCGUAAAACUCUGUUGUUAAAGAAGAACAAGGAUGAGAGUAACUGCUCAUCCCCUGACGGUAUUUAACCAGAAAGCCACGGCUAACUACGUGCCAGCAGCCGCGGUAAUACGUAGGUGGCAAGCGUUGUCCGGAUUUAUUGGGCGUAAAGCGAGCGCAGGCGGUUCUUUAAGUCUGAUGUGAAAGCCCCCGGCUCAACCGGGGAGGGUCAUUGGAAACUGGAGAACUUGAGUGCAGAAGAGGAGAGUGGAAUUCCACGUGUAGCGGUGAAAUGCGUAGAUAUGUGGAGGAACACCAGUGGCGAAGGCGACUCUCUGGUCUGUAACUGACGCUGAGGCUCGAAAGCGUGGGGAGCAAACAGGAUUAGAUAC
rnacentral:rRNA from 1 species